AGGACCUUCUUAAUGUCAACUAGAAGGCCUGGACUGGAAAUGUCCCUCGAGCCUUGUGAUACAGAUUCCAGAGGUACUUCACCAAAGCAUCAGCCUUCCCUCAGAGGCUCAGCAGCGGCCACCAACAUACACACAGCCAAGAAUGGGGGCAGUCACCUCGAGCACAGUCUUUCUUUAAUGUUAACAGUAUCCUUGGUUAUGUCUAAUGUCCUGUCUUUGUGCAAGUUAUUUUUUAUUAUUAUUAUUAUUUGUUCUUGACUGUUAACUAUAAAAUAUGACAAAUAAAGUGUCUUUAAUAGAUGGUGUCCUUCCUUGUGUUUGGGACUUGGGGCGAUGCAAAUGGCGGUUACGUUUCACUUUUAAUAGCAAACCUGACAUGUGGUAAACCAAAUUGAUUAACAUCUGGUCAUUAGGCGCAGUUGGAUUACCCAAGGUAAUUUAAAAAUAAACAUUUGGCUGCACUGGGUCCUUAUUUAGAGAAGUCUGUGGGCUUCUCUUGUGGAACGCAGGCUCUAGAGCACGUGGGCUCAGUAGCUGUGGGGCGCCAGCUUAGUUUCACUGUGGUAUGUGGGAUUUCAAUUCCCCGACCAGUCAAACCUCCAUCCCCUGCAUUGGAAGGCAGAUUCUUCACCACUGAACCACCAGAGAAGUCCCUACCCAAGGUAAUUUUUUUUUUUAUCAUAGAGUAGACAUUUCUGGCUUCUUCCCCUGCAUAUCCCACUAGUCUUCCAUUAUGAAGCAACCAAGCAUUUUGAAUGGGAUUGAUCCAACUCCCCGACCCUCAGCUUCAAGUGUAGGCCUUGGUUGGCCCAAGCCUUUCAGUGGAAUCCCAUGCCCCCAUGCCACAGUGAUUGACUUAGUGAGCGCAUGGCCUAAGUGGAUACAAUUAGAAUAAAGCUUAAAUGUUGGUAGGAGACUUGUGGGAGGAGAGAGUUCUGGAGAGCAGGGUUGAGGUAUGAGGUCUUGAACUGCUUUAGUUUUGCUGAACUGACACAGAGAGGGCAAAACUGAGAGAAUCAUGGAAAAAUGGAGCUGGUACUCUGAUCAGACCAUACCUGAAGUCUUUAGAUUUUACUUUUAGGCCAGUUUGAGUAAUUAUUUCUCUUUUUGCAGGUGAAAGCAGCCUCAUCUAUACAGCUUGUGUUUACUCUUGUGUUGUCAAGGCUAACUGGUAAACAGAAUAAAAGAAACACACUCAUGUGAUCUAUUAAUGCCCACAGUAAAAACAUCUGUUAUCAAUCAGUGAGUUUUGACUGACCGCUGUAACUUGUCAAACUACCAUACAAUUGCGCUUAUUUUACAUACUAGCAAGGUAAUGCUCAAAAUCCUUUAAGCUAGGCUUCAACAGUACAUGAACAGAGAACUUCCAGAUGUUCAAGCU
rnacentral:lncRNA from 1 species